GAUGAACGCUGGCGGCGUGCCUAAUACAUGCAAGUCGAGCGAAUGGAUUAAGAGCUUGCUCUUAUGAAGUUAGCGGCGGACGGGUGAGUAACACGUGGGUAACCUGCCCAUAAGACUGGGAUAACUCCGGGAAACCGGGGCUAAUACCGGAUAACAUUUUGAACCGCAUGGUUCGAAAUUGAAAGGCGGCUUCGGCUGUCACUUAUGGAUGGACCCGCGUCGCAUUAGCUAGUUGGUGAGGUAACGGCUCACCAAGGCAACGAUGCGUAGCCGAGCUGAGAGGGGGAUCGGCCACACUGGGACUGAGACACGGCCCAGACUCCUACGGGAGGCAGCAGUAGGGAAUCUUCCGCAAUGGACGAAAGUCUGACGGAGCAACGCCGCGUGAGUGAUGAAGGCUUUCGGGUCGUAAAACUCUGUUGUUAGGGAAGAACAAGUGCUAGUUGAAUAAGCUGGCACCUUGACGGUACCUAACCAGAAAGCCACGGCUAACUUCGUGCCAGCCGCCGCGGUAA
rnacentral:rRNA from 1 species